rnacentral:lncRNA from 1 species
UUGAACUAGAAGCAGGACUUUUGCGGGAUCCCAUUUGCACCCUUAGGGUGGCGUGAUGUGGCUGCUGCCGAGAUCCGUCAGGGCCAGCAGCGAAGGUUGGGCCGCCGAUGAGAUGGGAGACGGCGGCGGAGCUUGGCCUGGAGCCUGGAGCAGGGAAGCGAGAUGGGCGAUUGGGGAAGGAGAAAAGAACGCCCGGAAGAAGCCGUAAGAGCAGGGGGAAAAAACGAUUCCUUCGUUUCCCCUCGGCUUAAGCCAUUAAAAAUCAUAUACGACACACCAUGGAACGACCUAGGGCAUGGACCAACGUUGAAGCCGUUAGAUUUAUGCGAGCGAGCAGAUCGAGGAGGACGCACCUGAAAUCGGGAUUAGUUAGCGUGAGAUGGAGCAAAUCAGACGAUGGGAAGAUGGGUCCAGCCCAAGGUGAUACUGGGCUGGGUCACGUAGGAUUUUUUUCCGGCUUAAGCUGGGAGCCUUUCCUCAAAAAAAAAAAAAGCUGGGAGCCUGGGAGGGUCUUUUUGCAUCAGUUGGGCUGGGUUGAGCCCGUGGUGCAGACCACCAAACAAGGCCGAAUUUGCAUCGAUCAUGCGAGCCCGUGGUGAACUAUGUCUAAUGUAAAUUUUAAUUAAAAAUAAUAUGAUUAAUUAUGAGCAGCCCAAAAAUCGUUAAAUAUGUUAAUCUUGCGAUUUUUACACACAAUGCAAAGAUUCAUGUUUUUU